AUUGAACGCUGGCGGCAUGCUUUACACAUGCAAGUCGAACGGCAGCGCGGGCUUCGGCCUCGCGGCGAGUGGCGAACGGGUGAGUAAUACAUCGGAACGUGCCCAGUAGCGGGGGAUAGCUCGGCGAAAGCCGGAUUAAUACCGCAUACGACCUUAUGGCGAAAGCGGGGGAUCUUCGGACCUCGCGCUUUUUUAGCGGCCGAUGGCAGAUUAGCUAGUUGGUGGGGUUAAGGCCUACCAAGGCGACGAUCUGUAGCUGGUCUGAGAGGACGACCAGCCACACUGGGACUGAGACACGGCCCAGACUCCUACGGGAGGCAGCAGUGGGGAAUUUUGGACGAUGGGCGAAAGCCUGAUCCAGCAAUACCGCGGGAGUGAUGAAGGCCUUCGGGUUGUAAAGCACUUUUGGCGGGAACGAAAAGAACUGUGCCAAUACCACGGUUCGAUGACGGUACCCGCAGAAUAAGCACCGGCUAACUACGUG
rnacentral:rRNA from 1 species